rnacentral:rRNA from 1 species
AUGCUAAUGGUUGAACUAUGCGAAACUUUGGAAAACUUGGUUCGAAAACUUAUCAAGGAGAACGGAUUACAAGCAGGUAUUGCCUUUCCAACAGGAUGCUCCUUAAAUUGGGUUGCAGCUCACUGGACUCCAAAUUCUGGUGAUAAAACUGUACUACAAUAUGAUGAUGUGAUGAAGCUGGAUUUUGGGACACAUAUAGAUGGGCACAUAGUUGAUUCUUCAUUUACUGUCGCCUUUAAUCCCAUGUUUAAUCCAUUGCUUCAGGCAACGAGAGAUGCCACAAAUACUGGAAUCAAGGAAGCUGGAAUAGAUGCACGGCUUUGUAAUGUCGGUGCUACAAUCCAAGAAGUCAUGGAGUCAUAUGAGGUUGAAAUUAAUGGGAAAGUUUUCCAAGUAAAAAGUGUACGAAGUCUCAAUGGACAUGGCAUUGGACCAUACCAAAUCCAUUAUGGGAAAUCAGUUCCAAUUGUAAAAGCAGCAGAGCAAACAAAAAUGGAGGAGGGUGAAUUUUAUGCCAUUGAAACAUUUGGGUCCACAGGAAAGGGAUUUGUGAGGGAGGAUCUGGAAUGCAGUCAUUACAUGAAGAACUUUGAUGUUGGGCAUGUGCCAUUGAGGGUAGCAAAAGCUAGGCAGCUACUCGCGACAAUCAACAACAACUUUGGAACCCUUACUUUUUGCCGCCGGUACUUGGACCACAUUGGUCAGACCAAGUAUCUAAUGGCACUGAAAAAUCUGUGUGAUGCUGGUAUUGUGCAGCCGUACCCUCCAGUGUGCGGUGUGAGGGGAAGCUAUGUGUCACAAUUUGAGCACACCAUUUUGCUUCGACCAACCUGUAAAGAAGUCAUAUCCAAAGGCGACAACUAUUGA